rnacentral:rRNA from 1 species
UGACCAGACUCCUACGGGAGGCAGCAGUGGGGGAUAUUGCACAAUGGGGGGAACCCUGAUGCAGCGACGCCGCGUGGGUGAAGAAGCGCCUCGGCGCGUAAAGCCCUGUCAGCAGGGAAGAAAAUGACGGUACCUGACUAAGAAGCCCCGGCUAACUACGUGCCAGCAGCCGCGGUAAUACGUAGGGGGCAAGCGUUAUCCGGAAUUACUGGGUGUAAAGGGAGCGCAGACGGCAGUGCAAGUCUGGAGUGAAAGCCCGUGGCUUAACCACGGGACUGCUCUGGAAACUGUGCAGCUAGAGUGCAGGAGAGGCAGGCGGAAUUCCUAGUGUAGCGGUGAAAUGCGUAGAUAUUAGGAGGAACACCGGUGGCGAAGGCGGCUUACUGGACCGUAACUGACGUUGAGGCUCGAAAGCGUGGGGAGCAAACAGGAUUAGAUACCCGGGUA